AUGUACGAGCGCCUCCCAUUCUAUUGCUUCUCUUGCGGUAUUUUGGGGCACUCGUCAUUGUUGUGCCCCUCGCCAGGCGUCCGAGAUGAGAAUGGUGAUCUUCCUUACACUGCGAAGAAAUUGUGUGGUGCUGACGACCAGUUCAAGCACUCUGGCGGCUCAAAGUCAAACCAUACCUCAUCGUCUUCGGGUGGUAAUCAGAGAAACUCGACAUCAAGGGCUUUAACUACUAUUGCUAAAUCUGUUGGUUCGGAUGGCCGAACGAGGAAAAACGAUGCUCAAUAUUAUGAGUGUGAUGGGGUUGCAGAGGAUUUAUCUCCGCUCUUUCAUGGUCGUACCAACCGGAGUCGAGGCAGAUCCUCUGGAGGCCGCGGUCGUGGAAGGAAUGAGGGAGCCGGAUAA
rnacentral:rRNA from 1 species